UACGAACUGUGCAAACGUUAUUCGGAAUCACUGGGCUUACAGGGUGCGUAGGCGGCCUGUCAAGUAGGGUGUGAAAGCCCCCGGCUCAACCGGGGAAUUGCGCCCUAAACUGUCGAGCUGGAGUGAGAUAGGGGUGUGUGGAACUUCCGGUGGAGCGGUGAAAUGUGUUGAUAUCGGAAGGAACGCCGGUGGCGAAAGCGACACACUGGAUCUUGUCUGACGCUGAGGCACGAAAGCCAGGGGAGCGAACGGG
rnacentral:rRNA from 1 species